rnacentral:lncRNA from 10 species
AAGAAGAUGAUGCUAAGUGGUACUGCUCCCUGUGGAUUUUUUCCAUAUGUCCUCCGGUACAAGUAAUCUUGAACCAUCUCCAUAGCCACAGACAUUUGCAUUUUCACCAUUUGUUACAUUUGCCAAAUGUAUCAUCAUCAUCUUAUUCACUUUAUUCACCAUCACCAAAUUCAUCAUCACCUUAUUCAGUCCAAUGAUGCAAUCAUCAUCACAGUCAGCCUUCAACAUUUCUUGAGUGCUUUCCGCUUUCAGGGCACUCCACUCACAGGAACACCAGUUGCCAUGAAUCCCCAGGUUGCAAGUCAAACAGCCUCAGGAUAUGCAGAUGAACCAAGCUUGCCCAAUUCAUGACCCCAGAGCUGGCAAGAACAAAAAGUCAACCACAUAGGGAACCUAAAUGUCCGGAUUGGGGAAUGGAGAACACAUUAAGAAGCAAUGGGGAACCUGUUUUUUUGUUUGUUUGUUUGUUUGUUUUUUGCAGAUUUAAGAGCCAAGGACCCAUCACCACCUCUUUGCCUGAUCCAAUCAGAUCACGCCUCCUUGCAUUUUCCUGUCUCUCUCAUUGCUACUUUCUGCCUAGAAAACCUCCCCACCUACCCCACCAUCCUCAGUUCAGGGAGACAGAUUUGAGUGUUGCCACCUGUCUCCUUGCCAGUAGACUCACAGUAAAGCCUUUUCUUUUCUAGAAAACCACUGCCAUAGUAUUGGCUUCUAUGUGCAUCAGGUAGCCAGCCCAUUUCUCAGUAACAUCAUCACAACACUUUAAACAGGCCAUUGCUAAGGGAAAAUCAGUGGAAGAAAAGAUUGUAAAAUCAGAUACUCAAAGGAUUUUCAGAAUUUUACUCUAAAAUAUGAAGACCUAAUAUAUUUUAGGAAGUUAAAGGGUAUAAGGUAAUAUAUGAAAAAA